rnacentral:misc_RNA from 1 species
UUUCCGUAGGUGAACCUGCGAAAGGAUCAUUCAUAAUAAAGUGUUUUAUGGCACUUUUUAAAAAUCCAUAUCCACCUUGUGUGCAAUGUUAGAUCUCGUCAAUCUUGGCGAGAUUUUUAUACAUCAACUCAUUCUUUAACUAAUUUGUCUGAAAAAUAUUAUGAAUACUUAAUUCAAAAUGCAACUUUCAACAACGGAUCUCUUGGCUCUC